rnacentral:rRNA from 1 species
GUAGGUGGCAAGCGUUGUCCGGAAUUAUUGGGCGUAAAGCGCGCGCAGGCGGUCCUUUAAGUCUGAUGUGAAAGCCCACGGCUCAACCGUGGAGGGUCAUUGGAAACUGGGGGACUUGAGUACAGAAGAGGAAAGCGGAAUUCCAAGUGUAGCGGUGAAAUGCGUAGAGAUUUGGAGGAACACCAGUGGCGAAGGCGGCUUUCUGGUCUGUAACUGACGCUGAGGCGCGAAAGCGUGGGGAGCAAACAGGAUUAGAUACCCUGGUAGUCCACGCCGUAAGCGAUGAGUGCUAAGUGUUAGGGGGUUUCCCGCCCCUUAGUGCUGCAGCUAACGCAUUAAGCACUCCGCCUGGGGAGUACGGCCGCAAGGCUG